UGGGGAAUUUUGGGACAAUGGGCGAAAGCAUGAUCCAGCGACGCCGCGUGAGGGACGAAGCCCUUCGGGGUGUAAACCUAUGUUGUGAGGGACGAAUAAGAUCUGGAGGAAAUGCCAGAUCGAUGACGGUACCUCACGAGAAAGCCCCGGCUAACUACGUGCCAGCAGCCGCGGUAAUACGUAGGGGGCGAGCGUUACCAGGAUUCACUGGGAGUAAAGGGGGCGCAGGCGAUCCAGUAUGUCGGGUGUGAAAUCCCACAGCUCAACUGUGGAAUUGCGCCCGAAACUACUGGGUUUGGGGGUGGUAGAGAGAGAAGGAACUGCUGGUGUAGGGGUGAAAUCCGUAGAUAUCAGCAGGAACGCCGGUGGGGAAGCCUGUCUCGUGGGCCAAGCCCGACGAGGAGGCCCGAAAGCUAGGGGAGCAAACCGGAUUAGAUACCCGGGUAGUCCUAGCCGUAAACGAUGCCCACUAGGUGUGGGGGAGUCACUCCUCCCGUCCUGUAGCUAACGCAAUAAGUGCGCCGCAUGGAGAGCCGACUGU
rnacentral:rRNA from 1 species